UACAGAGGUCUCAAGCGUUUGUUCGGAUUCAUUGGGCGUAAAGGGUGCGUAGGCGGCGCGGUAAGUCGGGUGUGAAAUCUUGGAGCUUAACUCCGAAACUGCAUUCGAUACUGCCGUGCUUGAGGACUGGAGAGGAGACUGGAAUUUACGGUGUAGCGGUGAAAUGCGUAGAUAUCGAGAGGAACACCAGUGGCGAAGGCGGGGUCUCUGGACAGUUCCUGACACUGAGACACGAAGGCCAGGGGAGCAAACGGG
rnacentral:rRNA from 1 species